UUAUGGUUCCUUAGAUCGUACCCACAAUUACUUGGAUAACUGUGGUAAUUCUAGAGCUAAUACAUGCAAACAGAGCUCCGACCGGAGACGGAAGGAGUGCUUUUAUUAGAUCAAAACCAAUCGGUGGCGGGUUUACUCGUCAUCGUACAACUUGGUGACUCUGAAUAACUUUACGCUGAUCGCACGGUCUCGCACCGGCGACCCAUCUUUCAAAUGUCUGCCUUAUCAACUGCCGAUGGUAGGUUCUGCGCCUACCAUGGUUGUAACGGGUAACGGGGAAUCAGGGUUCGAGUCCGGAGAGGGAGCCUGCGACAC
rnacentral:rRNA from 1 species